CUGUUCGUAGAAAGGAGAGAUGGUUGGCAUCUCUCCUGACAGGGAUGGGAACAGACUUCGGGCUUUUCCUUGUUAGAAAACACCUUGUUAGAAAACACAUCGGUUAAGGUAACCCAUUUCGGUGGAUCUAUAACCCAAUUUUUUUU
rnacentral:ncRNA from 1 species